rnacentral:rRNA from 1 species
GAUCCUGGCUCAGGACGAACGCUGGCGGCGUGCCUAACACAUGCAAGUCGAGCGAGAAAGCCCCUUCGGGGGUUAGUAAAGCGGCGGACGGGUGAGUAACACGUGAGCGAUCUACCCAAGGGUGGGGGACAACUCAGGGAAACCUGAGCUAAUACCGCGUAUAGCGCCGGCUUGGAAGCCUGGCGUGAAAGGUGGCCUCUACAUGUAAGCUAUCGCCUUUGGAUGAGCUCGCGGCCUAUCAGCUUGUUGGUGGGGUAAUGGCCUACCAAGGCGAUGACGGGUAGCUGGCGUGAGAGCGCGACCAGCCACACUGGGACUGAGACACGGCCCAGACUCCUACGGGAGGCAGCAGUGGGGAAUAUUGCGCAAUGGGCGAAAGCCUGACGCAGCGACGCCGCGUGGGGGAGGAAGGCCUCAGGGUUGUAAACCCCUGUCAGGUGGGACGAAUCCCGUAGUGUCUAAUAGGCAUUACGAAUGACGGUACCACCAGAGGAAGCUCCGGCUAACUCAGUGCCAGCAGCCGCGGUAAUACUGGGGGAGCGAGCGUUGUUCGGAAUUAC